GAUUAACGCUAGCGGCAGGCAUAAUACAUGCAAGUUGAACGAGAUAAGUUUUAGCAAUAGAACUUUGAAAGUGGCGCACGGGUGCGUAACACGUAUGCAACCUACCUUUUACUGGGGAAUAGCCUCUCGAAAGAGAGAUUAAUACCCCAUAAUAUAUUGAUAAGGCAUCUUAUUAAUAUUAAAGUUACGGCGGUAAAAGAUGGGCAUGCGGCUGAUUAGGUAGUUGGUGAGGUAAUGGCUCACCAAGCCGACGAUCAGUAGGGGGUCUGAGAGUAUGUCCCCCCACACUAGUACUGAGACACGGACCAGACUCCUACGGGAGGCAGCAGUAGGGAAUAUUGGACAAUGGGCGCAAGCCUGAUCCAGCCAUGCCGCGUGCAGGAUGAAGGCUCUAUGGGUCGUAAACUGCUUUUGUACGGGAAGAAACCUCACUACGUGUAGUGAGUUGACGGUACCGUGAGAAUAAGGAUCGGCUAACUUCGUGCCAGCAGCCGCGGUAA
rnacentral:rRNA from 1 species